UAAAACCGCAUUAAAUACACUAGAGAUGAAAACACCUUAUUAGCCCACCAAAAUACUCAUCGACUAAAAAAGAAUACCUUCUACGUUACCCCACUCAUGUAUGCCUAAACCACCCCCGCCUUGUCUGCCGAGCACCGCCUUCGAAAUCUGCCCAAGGCCAUCGCUCAAGGACACCGUCUUUUGGGUUUUUAUUAAUUCUUUGUGGUUUGGUUUGUUUCUUCAAGCAAGCCUAUAUUUUUCUUUUGUCAGCAUUAUUUGGCACCAUAACAAAGAAGUAGAAACAAUUAGCAAAGCAUUAAUGAAAUAACAGAGGUAAUUCAGGUUGAAAUAAAUUUAAUUACUAUUUUGAUUUGAGAGUUUGUUAAUUGUUCUUCAGGUUCUUCAUCAGGUUAUUAUUUGUGCAUUAAAUUUUUCAUCAUAAUAUGGAAUUUUUCAUGUUCAUACAAUUUUCUAAUGUCAUCAUGAUUACUGGCAGUGAGUAAUUAAUUUUGUCAUGAAAUCCUUAAAAAUUGUUUUACACCAAUAAUUUAUGGUGACGACUCCAAUACUUCGAAUGACCUACUUGAGGACGGCACUUUUCGAUGGAUUAGAAUUCUCUCAAAUCAUUCGUCUAAUUUGAAAGAAUUCGAACAGGUAAUUAUGAGAGACUAUUUAUUCGAUCCACCUGACCGGAUAAGUGAUUUGGCACUCCUGUUUUAUACAUAUAAUGGAUGGCUCCACCCCAAAUAUGAGCUACCAAGAAUGGCAAAGAGAUCCCGAUCAAUGUAGAAACACCUUUUUGUUUGUUUAAAGGUUGCAUCUUUAAAUUGUAUUUAUUUUGAAACAUCUGGCCGCUACUGUCUUGAUCAGAUUACAUGGAUUCAUUGUAUAUACUUAGAAGCAGAAAUUUUCUUGUAGAAUACCAGGCUGCCAAAUUGCAGGCAGUUUAGGGUUUAUGUCUUAA